GACGAACGCUGGCGGCGUGCUUAACACAUGCAAGUCGAACGGAAAGGCCCUGCUUUUGUGGGGUGCUCGUGUGGCGAACGGGUGAGUAACACGUGAGUAACCUGCCCUUGACUUUGGGAUAACUUCAGGAAACUGGGGCUAAUACCGUAUAGGAGCUCCUGCUGCAUGGUGGGGGUUGGAAAUUUUCGGCGGGUGGGGAUGGACUCGCGGCUUAUCAGCUUGUUGGUGGGGUAGUGGCUUACCAAGGCUUUGACGGGUAGCCGGCCUGAGAGGGUGACCGGCCACAUUGGGACUGAGAUACGGCCCAGACUCCUACGGGAGGCAGCAGUGGGGAAUAUUGCACAAUGGGCGGAAGCCUGAUGCAGCAACGCCGCGUGCGGGAUGACGGCCUUCGGGUUGUAAACCGCUUUCGCCUGUGACGAAGCGUGAGUGACGGUAAUGGGUAAAGAAGCACCGGCUAACUACGUG
rnacentral:rRNA from 1 species